UGCAAGAUGAAUAAAGGGCGUUCUUGGCAGGAUUUAAAAACAGAGCGCCAUUGAGUUGAACGCCCGAGAGUAACCUCGAGUGCAGAUGGACCUGUUGCCCAGCCCGCCUAGUGCUGCUAAAUCCACCGGCUCAAGGCCUCACACGACCUGGGCUUUGCAAACUCCAGCCCGUUCUCCUUCCACCAAUCCCCGACGCUGGUCUCCAAGAAAGCCGACCGGAGCUUAGGAUGAAGACACUGGCGCUCAUGGAGAUGUCUGGCCCCUCCAUCUGCCCAUCAUUGAUCGAGUCUUGGAACGCAAACCCCAGACCCUGAAGGCAGCCCUCUUGGCCUGCUCCCAUCAAGCCUCCUAGAACCCUCUCUGAAAAGUCAGCAAGUCCAGCCGUGCCUUCUCAGACCUCUUCAAGGCAUCCACCCACCUGACGUCCUGAAAUGCCAUGCUUUCGGAUUCACUGACAAUGCAUAGUCCCCAGUCUGCUGCUGGACCACCCUCUUCCUGCCUCCUCCACUUGUUUCUUUUCCUCUGCCUCCUCCCCUCCAAAUGCUCUGGGCCCUUGGCUCACUCCGUGUUUUCUCCUUAGGGGAGAUGACUGCAUCUGGGAUGAUGUGGCUCAAGUGGACAUCCACAGCCCUUUCCCAGAGCCAGAGUACAUUUCCAGUCAGCUCUUGCACAUGCAAAACUGAGCCUCCUGCUAGCAGCUCAAAGACAAACAGCCUUCUCGGGGCAAGGGAGAGGUCGCACCAGAUGUGCUCUUGGACCUAUCCAGGUCUAACCCUCACUGUUUCCGGCCCCAAACUGACAUCAUUAUCAUCAUCCUUCCAAAAAUCAGCCCUCCCUUUUAACUCCUUCAUUUCUAUUCCUGGUACCACUGUUCCUCCUGUGACUUGGUCUCAGUAUUCCAGAAUGUCUUUUGCUGCUUCUCAUCUCCCCCCUCCCACCCUUGAAAAAACAUUGUCAUGUUCAGCAGAUUGUACACCCAAUGGUGUUUUCUUCUGCCUCCGUUGCCACCUGGGCUGGCAGAGGCUCCCUGACAGCCAGUGGUUGCACCCACUGCUACAGGGUCAUCUUACUGACACCAGAGCUCACUGCCCCCAAAUUUUCAUUGGUUCCUUGUGGCUUAGACACUCAGUAGGGAUGGGGGAGGAAGGAAAAUGCAGUGGAGAAGAGCCGUGGAAGCAGCGGCACCAUUUCUGCCCUUCCCUGCUGGCUCCUAAAGGCCCCUUGGGGAAAGAGCCCUGGAAUAGAAACCCAAAGACAUAAACUCUAGUCCUGGCUCUGCGGCCACCCACUUUUGAAAUCAGUUUCAUGUCCGGUCAAAUCAGAUGAUUAGAUUAGAUGCUAAGUUUCGGCUGGCUCCAACAUCAUAAAUAUGUGUGGAUGGCAUAUCUAUAGACAGGUGUGGGCAUCAUUUAACUUGCAUCAUACCAAUUUUAAAAGUGCUUUUUCUAUCAAUUAUUUCAAAUGAUUGUCACAACAGCCCUUUGAGGCAAGCAGGAUGUGUGUGUAUCGCUUUUUUACAAAUGGAGAAACUGAGCAUGGAACAGGUUAAAUGAGUAGCUGGAAGUAACCCUAGUUAGAGAACAGAGUAUACUUUGGAAUCAGACCUAAAAAGUCAAACUCCAAUGACUUAACUUUGCAGAGCUUCCAUUUCCCCAAUAUCACAUGAGGCUCAUCAAGUAGUGCCCACUUCUGUGUUGCCUCUUUUGGGUCACACCUCGUUUGGGCACCAGCAGUGAGAGUCAGCCACGCUGCAAAUCAAAGGCUGGGAGGUGGGGGCUGGAUGCUAGCUUGCUAACACCCUGAGAGGGUCUCUCAACCUGAGACCCUCAACCCAAGAGGGUCUCUCAACACUACCUCAAGCAAAUCAUGGCCUCCUAAUGCUGUGUCUCUCGGCAAACACUAAGGUGAGAGGAGGGGACCCAGAUACAGCAAAGGGGGAUUACAGCGGGAUCCCCCAGGAUCUUGACUCUGAGACCCUUUGGAGCUCUUUGACCCAGUAAGCCUCACCUCAAAUGCUCAAAUUUGCUUGUGGUGUUGGAUCAGGUCUUAUCAGGCAUAUUUGUCUUGGCUGUUAUCACUAAGGCACUGACCUCAGCUCUGAGAGUCCAGAUGUUUUCGGAGUCAAGUUGGCGUAUGGACAACUUUAAGAGGCUGGGGAGGGGCAGAGGAGGCACUACCAAGCAAGAGAGCCUGUGGCAGCCACAGGGGCAGCACUGAAGCAGAGGAGGAGUAUGGUUGAGGUGCUGGCCAGGCAGGAGCCCUCAGAAAUACACAGUCAGAGGCACAGACCAAGAGGCCACAAGGUAGGAGUGCUCUACCUUGGGGCAGAGAGCAGCCUGGUAACUCUCUGGCUUGACCUUAAGUCAAGGAAACUGAAGCCCAGAGAUUGGCUUAUCCAAAGUCACACAGUGGGAAAUCUGAGAGGUUUCCUAUUUCUAAGACUAGGAUGGUCUAAGCGUCUGGAUCCACCCUCUCACCGAAAACACGUAAAAAUCCUCAAUAAAAUAUAUAAAGCAUCACUGAAAUGCAGCAGUUAUGAAUUGCUUCAUCUGUGCAAAGGUUUAUCAGAUUUGGUUGACCUGUCCCUGUGCUAAUGAGCAGUAUCCCUCACCUUUGGGUCUUGCCCCCGGGGGCGAUGACACCGUACCCUAGCCCCACCACUUAAUGUCAUCUCCAUCUGAAGGCCGAGUGGAGCAGGGGCAACUAGAUGACAGCACACUAAGGUGCCGUUGUGAACUCACCAGCUCCCUCCUUCCCACCCGCCCCGCUGCAAACAGGGACAGCACAGGAGUCUGCAGUCUCUCCCCUGCCCGCUGUGCUUCUGUACCAGGCUGUUCUCUUCCAAAGUCCUGAUAUCUCCACAAGUUGCUCCUCAGCUUACUGUUAUCUCUGAGCCAUCUGAAGAAGCUGCAAGUUUACUCCAGGCGCUGAAUGAGAGGAUCUGGGAGGUCUGGUGCAGACUGUGUUUAGCCCUAAUGAGCAAAUCCCUCCUCUGAUUGUGCCAGCUUCCAGAACAGUGCUCCAAAACUGUGGUUAUUCUGGACACAUUGACUGAAUGGGGAGCUCUUCCCUUCCUGGUCCCUGUCUCAGUGGUCCAUGAAGCGAGCCUGGCAGCCGUAGAACAGCAACCUUCCUUUCCCUCCCCACCUCUCUCUUGUAACCUCCUGAUAAUCCUCCGGCUUCACUCAGCCUGCUGCAUUCAGCUUGGGGGACCUUAAAAUAUAGGUUGGGUCCUGUCAUUCCCCAGCUUAAAACUUUCCCAUUGUACUGAGGAUACUCCUGAUGCCUCGGGUCAAGGCUGCUUGCUGGUUUCGAAAAGUCAGGUUCUUUCCUGUUUCAUGGACCUUGCCCAGAUGGUUGCUUCUGCCUGAAAUGUCCCUCCUCUCCUCCAACUCAUAUCUGGCUCCAAAGUCUCAUCUAAGGUGAGUUUUCCCUAACCACUUUUUAUUUUAAUAAAACCGACCACUUUUUAUUUUCCGCCACUCUGUUUGUUCUCUUCAUACAUACGUUUGUUUGCUGAUGGAUUUAUUGUCUUUCUUCCCACUGGAAAGGCUGGAAACUUCCUGACUCCAGAACCUGGUCCACCUUGCUCACUGCUAUAUAGUCAGCCCCUUGCAGAGAGCCCAGACUGUAGUAGGCAUUUAAUAAUUAUUGGUUAUUUUUAUAACCUGUAGCAAACGUGCUGCAGGAAGGAUCGGGCUGGUGCCAACAUACAUGGGAAUGGUCAAGGAACUGGAAAACUGUCUCCCACUGGGCCUGCCACCCACACCCAAACCCCAGCACUGUUAUUAAGGAUCCACAUGGGCCAGUGACAAGAAGGGGCUGAGGUCAGAAAGGGUGCAGCCCAAUAUCUUCCAGGGUAUAGGCUCGAGGGACCCUGGAGGUCUUCAUAUUUUUUUUCUAAACCACAAAACCUGUUGGAAAUUAACUCUGAGGUUAAUUUCAAGUGUCUACCGCCUCCUUGGUAGACCUGCUCUAUAAGCAGGUAAGAAGGGUACUUCCUUCUCUGCCUGCCCUAGUGAAUAUGGCCCAAAGGCUGGACAGGGGGGAAAAGAAGGCUUAGUCACCACUUUUGCAAUGCCAGCAAUGCAAGCCACAGUGAUACUUUUCUAGUGUGUUUUUUAUUUUCAAGGAACUAGCAUGACUUCUAUACAAUUUCCACGAAAAAUGUCUUCUCCACCUGACUCUGCCAUGCUAAU